ACGGGGGGAGCAAGCGUUGUUCGGAUUUACUGGGCGUAAAGGGCGCGUAGGCGGCCUCCGCAAGUCAGUUGUGAAAUCUCCGAGCUUAACUCGGAAAGGUCAACUGAUACUGCGGGGCUAGAGUGCGGAAGGGGCAACUGGAAUUCUUGGUGUAGCGGUGAAAUGCGUAGAUAUCAAGAGGAACACCUGCGGCGAAGGCGGGUUGCUGGGCCGACACUGACGCUGAGGCGCGAAAGCUAGGGGAGCGAACGGGA
rnacentral:rRNA from 1 species